rnacentral:misc_RNA from 1 species
AACGCAUAUUGCACUCCUCGGUAUUCCUUGGAGUAUGUCUGUUUCAGUAUCAUAAAGUAAAAUCAAACCUUUAGGCUUUGCUUAAGGCUUGGAAGUGGGCUUCGUAGGUGAUUUUCUUCUACUAGCCUGAAAUUCAUUCGUGGCCGCAUCUUGUCAAAGAUAGAGGCGUCAUAGUUGACUUUUCGUCAUCUUUCGCUGAUUACUUUGAAAGUGCAUUAAACUACGUUAAAAUUUUUUUCAUCUACUUGAUCUGAAAUCAGAUAAGACUACCCGCUGAACUUAA